ACCGGUAGUAAAACCGUCAGGAGGUUCCGCCCACCUGCUAUGACAUCACCACGGAUGAUACGCGCGUGCGCAGAAGCGUGCAUGCUUCCGCGAGCAGUACUAAAGAAAUGCAGUUCCUGGUUUGCUACUCAAAGACGGACUCACCCACGCCCUAAAUGAAAGAGGAUGUUAUAAAGCCCCUACUUUAAAGAUAAGGUAGAGGGGGGAAAAAAGGGGGGAUUGACUCUCUGCAGCUUUUCUGUGGCAAAUACUUUUAGUUUUUGUUCUGGCCUAAGCCAUUUCUUUGUCACUGCUUCCUUUGGUUUUAUAGAAUCCAGCCCCUGGCUGAUCAUGAAAAGCUCGGAGUUUGUCCUUGGCCCUGAAAAAAAAAGAAGAAGAAAAAAAAACUUCACACGUCCCUUGUAUUUAGUUGAGGACAGAAACAGGAUAAGAGCAAGAAACGAUCAGUUUGUGGAAGUUAGAGACGAGCCAUAUUCAUCUAUGGGAACAAAAAAGAAAGAAAGAAAGAAAGAAAGAAAGAAAGAAAGAAAGAAAGAAAGAAAGAAAGAAAGAAAGAAAGAAAGAAGGUGUCUCGUAGUACUUUUUCCACCUAACAAAUUUUAUUAAAAGGCUCAUCGCUCGUUUCACCAGUUGCACAAAA